UUGUUACGUUUGUUGGCUUCCUGAAAUUGAAACAGAAAGCAAAUUAAUGAAUUAUAUAUACAAAGAAAGAAAAAUGAUGAAGAUAUUGAUUUUCAAGUCCUGUUAUUUGCAGCAAUAUAACAACUAUAGCACAUAAAACACUUUUUUCAGUAUCAUGAUAAGAAAAUCAUGAACCAUAAGUGGAAUACUUUACUCUCAAUUAUCCAAAGACAAGAAUGAAUUCUGCCAGAUUUUAUGCACAGCAAAUUCCACAUGCUACAUCACACUGCCACCUUACAUCACCUUUAACAAUUUAUGACUAAUAUCUUAUCAUCAUUCAAUAUCCAACUUCAACAGUUUAUGUUUAUUCAAUAUUCCUUGACCAAACACAGAGACCAGAAAAUCCAUCCUUUAUUCUUUAGUAGGGCAUGUCCCAGCCAGAGCCAGUAAACAUCAAGAACUUCUGUAUAAAAAGUAGCGUCUAUAGUAUCAACCUAUUCCAUUAUAACUGUCCAACUUCAAAGAGAAACAAGGGAGAAAAAUAUGUAAAAUAAUUUAUAGGUGAGAGAAAUCAUGCCUG
rnacentral:misc_RNA from 1 species